rnacentral:ribozyme from 1 species
ACAUGGCGUGCAAGAACGAAAACAACACCAACAACGAAUAGAAGGAGAAGUGUUCAAAUCUUGAUUUCAAGUUUUCUUCUUCUUCUUCUUCUUCUUCUUUUUGGUGUUGUUCCAACAGAUUCUACUUUUCCUUCUUCGAAC